UUUCUCAUUUCUCUCUCACGUACCCACCCAGAAGGCAUCAUGCCAGCAACUUAGCACACUGUCUUCCGAUCCCCAUUUUCUCCUCUUUGUGCUCCGUGCAGAUCCCCUUCCGCUGGCGCUCGAUUUCAACCAUGUCUCGCACUCUGUUGCGCCAGCUACCUCUUCUUCGACCUCUGCUACCUACCACUGACUUCGGCUUGUCGUUCUGCCCACGCAAGCGGCCCUGUGGUUAGCCCUAGUUAUGGCCUACGGUCACCGGCACGGCUGCGAGGUAGCCGUAUGCGCUGAGGGUUUGGCUCCAGACCAGGGCCGGCGCUCCCAUCGGUGGCGAGGAGGUCGAGGCGGCAUGGCAAUGGAAGAUAGCACGACCGGACGGCGGGGACCGUCUGUGCGCCGGCUAGACGACGGCGCCUACCGGCGGUGAGGAGCUCAUGGCGGCACGGGGCUAGCAGGGCUGGCCGGUUGAGGCAGCUAGUGUGAGUUGUGCUAUCGCAUCCUCCAGAUCUGGCGACCUGGGGCCAGAGGCUACAUGUCUGUGGAGGUAAACAUUCCUUUGACAAUGGCUGCAUCGGCCGAGUGGAGCGGGCGUGUUCGGCGAGUCUUGGCCAUCGGCUUUCCUCUCUGUUCCAAUGAACGCAUGCAGUGGCACCUUGGCUAACACUAUCUUCAGAUGUCUGGAAUUUGGAUGCCUAAAAACUGGGCAAAAGCCACCUUGAUGGAGGCCUUGUGCAUCAAAGUUGUCAAUGUGUUCUUCCCAUCGAGUAAUAAUGGUGAGUUUACCACUUAACAGAGGCAGGCACUUUUAUAAUGUCUUUUCUGAGCACUGCUAUCUAUACAAUGAGCCUUACCUUGCAUCCUUUAAAUACACAUGUCUCCUUGGUUUCUGAUUUAUCUUUGACGGGAUAAUACCAAUUAUCCUGGUGACCACUCCAACUACAUCUGAACUCUGAAAUUAGCAGUAAAAAAGAAAAUCCAGUACACAUGAGAAUUAGAUAAUACAACAUGCAAUGCAUAGGCUGUUUUCGCUGGAAACCUGGCGUUGGUCUGUCUUUGCAAUCUCUCUGACAUGGAUUGAUAAUAGAUAACAAGUUGCUCUUCAUAAUUUUUGAUGCAUAGAAGAAGAUACAUCUUUCAGAUUAUCUCAUAUUGCAUCUCUUCUAAGAUUAUCCUAUUACUAAGUAAUCUUCCACUACAAAUAGAAUUUGUAGAUAUUAUAAAAGGUGUCAAGGAAUAACCAUUUCUUCCAAACAUAAUAGAAAGUUUUUGCAGCAACUGGCCAUAUAAAUAUUCAGAAGGAAUAACUUGGCGGUUGUCAUCCAAAGACUGCAAUCUGUGAAGCUAGAUCAUCGAUCAUAUACCGCCAAUAUUUAUCAAGCAAUCUUGACUCAUUGGUAAAACCACAUAGUAACAAUACUGUCAUAAAUAGAUGUCUAAGCCGGAAAGAAGAAGCCCACUGAAUGGCUUCAUCAAAUAAGCGAAACCACUCACUGUCAUCACCAGCCAAUUCACGGACUUGCCAAGCUUCCUUGAAAGAGCCAUAAAAUAUACCACGGUUGGCAAAAAAUUCACGGCCACCAGCAAGACGCUACCGCUGAAACUACAGGUGAAGCUGAAGAACCACACGGAGGAGAAGGUAGAUCGGGCGAGGAUGGGACAACAGAGUCCACCGACCAUAUGACCGACCGUGACCUUGUGCAUGACCUGGAGGAGGAUGCAAAUCAGGGCGACCAACAGGUGGCACAACAGUCUAAGAAGCAACACAAGCCCUCCGGAUUUUACCCUACUAUGGAACGUCUCAAAAUCACAUAAUCAGGAAUAUCGAAUAUCUUACCUUUAGACAAUUUAGCUAUGGCUAGCCAACCAAAAACAAAACUAAGAAAUAUGACAACAAAGCUUUUAUUUUCCAAGUCAACCUGCUUAUCCUGAAAUCACUCAAACUCUGACCUGCAGACAUAACAACAUGGUUCACAGAGUUAGAAUCUUAGGAAGCAAAUAUCAUGUUUAAUCAAUUGCACAUGCAAAUUCAUAAAAUUGAAAGCAACAAUACAAACCUAAGUAUGACAUUAUGCAGGAGAAGCCGGUCUAACUGUGAGGAAGCUACUAACUUGCAGGAGAGGACGCUGUCAAUUUCUUUGGCCUGAAACACAUGAAUGCAAGAUAAGGCACAGAAAUAAAAGCUAGCAAUAGCUGAAAUAAAAUAUAAGUGCAGAAAAUUGCAUACCAGGCGAUGUUUGCUGCUGAAGCUCCUUCAACUCCAAUUUUAUUUUCUCCAACAGUGUAUCUUUACUAUCAAUAUCAAUGUUAAAAUCCUUACAAAUUUGCCUAUAGCUGCUGUUGACUUCCUCUAGGUACAUGAAACCAAAACAGAGGGCAGGAUAAUGGAACAAAAAAAAAGGACAUCGCACACCGAUGCAUCGGAAUCUAAUGGAAGAAGAAAGCAGAUAGCAGGACAGACAAAGAUGAGAAGCUGCACGCCGCACACCAUCGUUCAGUGCAAGAACAUCAUAGACUGCCUGAAGAAGUGCCUCUGCUCCGGGUCUCCCUCGACCGGCUGCGCGAGCUCCUCCGCUAAGCCCCAUCGCUUCCGUUAGGUGUCCAGUACCACCGCACCACCAUAGCCGGAGGAGGACUGGGUCUGCACCGCGACUUGCCGCCUAUGCUGCUGGCCGAGCUCGACAUGCAGCCGCAGACCUUGCAGGCCAUUAAGCCAGCAUCAACACACCAGAGGAGGGCACUUCAGCUUAUCAACCAGCCGUGUGGGGCGCGGCGGUCGGGGCGGCAGCUGAGGAUGAAGGCGUCGGUCGGCAUCACGAGGUGGCCGUCCGGUGGCACCGUGCGCAUCGUUCGGCGCUGUAGCAGCCAUAGGGACGGGAACGUCCCUGCCAUUGCCAGCAGGGUCACAGGAACAGGGACGACGCCGUCCAUGAGUGGGAGCUUGCCGGCGGCGCCACGUGGAGAACUCCGAACGGCGAGCACGACACCGUCGAAGAGACCGAAGCGAGGCGGGAACCAUGUGUAACGUCCCGGAAAAUAUUUCAAAUUAGAUUUGUUUGUUGUUUUGGUUUUCGCGUCAUCGUGACGUCAUCAUGCAUAUUUUUCUGGCAUAUUUUCAACCGCGAAAAUUAUUUUCUUAAAAUCCCUAUUUUUGUUUUGCUAAA